GCUUUAUUCAUUCUCUUUGUGCGGCUUUAUUCAUUCUCUUUGUGCGGCUUUAUUCAUUCUCUUUGUGCGGCUUUAUUCAUUCUCUUUGUGCGGCUUUAUUCAUUCUCUUUGUGCGGCUUUAUUCAUUCUCUUUGUGCGGCUUUAUUCAUUCUCUUUGUGCGGCUUUAUUCAUUCUCUUUGUGCGGCUUUAUUCAUUCUCUUUGUGCGGCUUUAUUCAUUCUCUUUGUGCGUCUCUGUAUCAACCAUCUGUGCGUUAGGGUUUCAUCUAAACCCUCCACUCCUCCAUUCAAUCGCCAUAAUUCACUCUUGAUUAAUUGCGCGCGCUCUGUUCUAGUUACUAUGCCACAAGAUUUGAAAUUCCCUUACCCCUGUUUUGAUUCAUUGCAAUUGAGGAAAGGUGGUAUGCCAAGUAUGAUUGGUCUUCCUUCAGAUCAUGCACUUGUUGAGGAUGAUGAAUGCUUAAGG